CCUACGGGAGGCAGCAGUGAGGAAUAUUGGUCAAUGGACGAGAGUCUGAACCAGCCAAGUAGCGUGAAGGAUGACUGCCCUAUGGGUUGUAAACUUCUUUUAUAUGGGAAUAAAAUGUGCCACGUGUGGGAUUUUGUAUGUACCAUAUGAAUAAGGAUAGGAUAACUCCGUGCCAGCAGCCGCGGUAAUACGGAGGAUCCGAGCGGUAUCCGGAUUUAUUGGGUGUAAAGGGCGCGUAGGGGGUUUGUUAAGUCAGUUGUGAAAGUUUGCGGCUCAACCGGAAAAUUGCAGUUGAAACUGGCAGUCUUGAGUACAGUAGAGUUGGGCGGCAUUCGUUGUGUAGCGGUGACAUGCUUAGAUAUCAC
rnacentral:rRNA from 1 species